rnacentral:lncRNA from 1 species
UGACACUGAUACCAUGAAUACAUGACUACUGAAUCUGAAUACUGAUAACAUGGAAUACAAAUAACUGAUAUGACUGAUAACAUGAGUGACUGUUCUGACAGCCCUGGGUUGACUGUAUCUGACAGUCCUGAAUCUGAUAGAAUUAUCUGAGUUUCAUACUAAACUGAGUUGACUGUAUCUGAUAGUCCUGAACUCUGAAGAACUAUCUGAGUUCUUU